rnacentral:rRNA from 1 species
GUUGUAUAGUCAAGUAAUUAAGUGCAUGUGGUGGAUGCCUUGGCAGUCAGAGGCGAUGAAAGACGUAAUAGCCUGCGAUAAGCUCCGGGGAGGCGGCAAAUAUCCUUUGAUCCGGAGAUUUCUGAAUGGGGGAACCCACUUACCAUAAGGUAGGUAUCAUACACUGAAUACAUAGGUGUAUGAGGCAAACGAGGGGAAGUGAAACAUCUCAGUACCCUUAGGAAAAGAAAUCAAUUGAGAUUCCCUCAGUCGCGGCGAGCGAACGGGGAAAAGCCCAUUAAGUUAUAUCAGCUUUAGUGGAAUGCUCUGGGAAGUGCAACCAUAGUAGGUGAUAGUCCUGUACACGAAAGGGCUGAUAUGAUGAUGUCGAGUAGGGCGAGGCACGUGAAACCUUGUCUGAAUAUGGGGGGACCAUCCUCCAAGGCUAAAUACUCCUGACUGACCGAUAGUGAACCAGUACCGUGAGGGAAAGGCGAAAAGAACCCCUGUGAGGGGAGUGAAAUAGAUCCUGAAACCGCAUGCAUACAAGCAGUGGGAGCCAAUUCGUGUGGUGACUGCGUACCUUUUGUAUAAUGGGUCAGCGACUUAUAUUCAGUAGCAAGGUUAACCGUAUAGGGGAGCCGUAGAGAAAUCGAGUCUUAAUAGGGCGUUUAGUUGCUGGGUAUAGACCCGAAACCGGGUGAUCUAUCCAUGAGCAGGUUGAAGGUUAGGUAACACUGACUGGAGGACCGAACCCNGGUGACUGCGUACCUUUUGUAUAAUGGGUCAGCGACUUAUAUUCAGUAGCAAGGUUAACCGUAUAGGGGAGCCGUAGAGAAAUCGAGUCUUAAUAGGGCGUUUAGUUGCUGGGUAUAGACCCGAAACCGGGUGAUCUAUCCAUGAGCAGGUUGAAGGUUAGGUAACACUGACUGGAGGACCGAACCCACUGUCGUUGAAAAGCCAGGGGAUGACUUGUGGAUAGGGGUGAAAGGCUAAUCAAACUCGGUGAUAGCUGGUUCUCCCCGAAAGCUAUUUAGGUAGCGCCUCGGACGAAUACCAUUGGGGGUAGAGCACUGUUUCGGCUAGGGGGUCAUCCCGACUUACCAAACCGAUGCAAACUCCGAAUACCAAUGAGUACUAUCCGGGAGACAGACUGCGGGUGCUAACGUCCGUAGUCAAGAGGAAAACAAUCCAGACCGCCAGCUAAGGCCCCAAAAUCAUAGUUAAGUGGGAAACGAUGUGGGAAGGCAUAGACAGCUAGGAGGUUGGCUUAGAAGCAGCCACCCUUUAAAGAAAGCGUAAUAGCUCACUAGUCGAGUCGGCCUGCGCGGAAGAUGUAACGGGGCUAAAACUAUGUGCCGAAGCUGCGGAUGUAUACAUUGUAUACGUGGUAGGGGAGCGUUCUGUAAGCCGAUGAAGGUGGAUUGAGAAGUCUGCUGGAGGUAUCAGAAGUGCGAAUGCUGACGUGAGUAACGACAAAGCGGGUGAAAAACCCGCUCGCUGAAAGACCAAGGGUUCCAGUCCAACGUUAAUCGGGGCUGGGUGAGUCGACCCCUAAGGCGAGGCCGAAAGGCGUAGUCGAUGGGAAAUUGGUUAAUAUUCCAAUACUUCAGUGUAAUGCGAUGAGAGGACGGAGAAGGUUAAGUCAGCCUGGCGUUGGUUGUCCAGGUGGAAGGAAGUAGGCAUGCAUCUUAGGCAAAUCCGGGGUGCUCUAUGCUGAGAUCUGAUAGCAAGCUGUACUUGUACAGUGAAGUGGCUGAUACCAUACUUCCAGGAAAAGUCUCUAAGCUUCAGUUACACUGGAAUCGUACCCGAAACCGACACAGGUGGUCAGGUCGAGUAGACCAAAGCGCUUGAGAGAACUCUGCUGAAGGAACUAGGCAAAAUGGUACCGUAACUUCGGGAGAAGGUACGCUGCUUUUGGUGAUGGAACUUGCUUCCUGAGCUGAGAGCAGCCACAGAAACCAGGCCCCUGCAACUGUUUAUUAAAAACAUAGCACUCUGCAAACACGAAAGUGGACGUAUAGGGUGUGAUGCCUGCCCGGUGCUGGAAGGUUAAUUGAUGGGGUUAGCGUAAGCGAAGCUCUUGAUCGAAGCCCCAGUAAACGGCGGCCGUAACUAUAACGGUCCUAAGGUAGCGAAAUUCCUUGUCGGGUAAGUUCCGACCUGCACGAAUGGCAUAAUGAUGGGGGCGCUGUCUCCAGCAGAGGCUCAGUGAAAUCGAAAUCGCCGUGAAGAUGCGGUGUACCCGCGGCUAGACGGAAAGACCCCGUGAACCUUUACUGCAGCUUGACAUUGAACUUUGAUCUUACUUGUGUAGGAUAGGUGGGAGGCUUUGAAAUCAGGACGCCAGUUCUGAUGGAGCCGUCCUUGAAAUACCACCCUGGUAAUAUUGAGGUUCUAACUCUGUCCCGUUAUCCGGGACGAGGACCAUGUCUGGUGGGUAGUUUGACUGGGGCGGUCUCCUCCUAAAGAGUAACGGAGGAGUACGAAGGUGCGCUCAGCGUGGUCGGAAAUCACGCGUAGAGUAUAAAGGCAAAAGCGCGCUUAACUGCGAGACCCACAAGUCGAGCAGGUACGAAAGUAGGUCUUAGUGAUCCGGUGGUUCUGUAUGGAAGGGCCAUCGCUCAACGGAUAAAAGGUACUCUGGGGAUAACAGGCUGAUACCGCCCAAGAGUUCAUAUCGACGGCGGUGUUUGGCACCUCGAUGUCGGCUCAUCUCAUCCUGGGGCUGAAGCAGGUCCCAAGGGUAUGGCUGUUCGCCAUUUAAAGAGGUACGCGAGCUGGGUUUAGAACGUCGUGAGACAGUUCGGUCCCUAUCUACCGUGGGCGUUGGAAAUUUGAGAGGAUCUGCUCCUAGUACGAGAGGACCAGAGUGGACGAACCUCUGGUGUACCGGUUGUGACGCCAGUCGCAUCGCCGGGUAGCUAUGUUCGGAAGGGAUAACCGCUGAAAGCAUCUAAGCGGGAAGCCUACCUCAAGAUAAGAUUUCCCCGAGACUUUAUGUCUCCUAAAGAGCCGUUGAAGACUACGACGUUGAUAGGUUGGAUGUGGAAGCAUGGUGACAUGUGAAGCUGACCAAUACUAAUUGCUCGUGAGGCUUGACUAUACAACACCCAAACAGUUG